rnacentral:ncRNA from 1 species
UGAUAGAGGCGCGGCUGAUAAGAGUAUCCGUCCGGGAGACAGGCAACGGAGGACGGAAAAAGGGUCAGCCGCCGAAGAAUCGGUCUGUUUGCCUGAUGGACCGGUAUCUGGGCUGUCGGAGAAGAUCUGGCAGACUGUCGCCCGGAGGCGGGCGGAGCGCUGUUGU